UAUUUGCUGUGUCAAUAGCCCACACCUUCUCUACUAACUUGACUUUCAGCUCUCAGAGAAGAUGAAACCCAAAUAUAAUAGAUACCACCCCUACUCGUAGGCAAGCUUGCCAAAGAACAGCUCAACCCGUGUUGGUACUCUGCAUCAUCCUGAAGACAAAACCAUCUCCCCAUGGAAGGGUGUUGUGCACAGACGGUAGAGCUCUUGUGAGGACAAAGUCUGAUCAUGGCUACGGAAAACUACAAGGACAGCGAACUGAAAGGACUGUUUUGAGGAUUAACUGAGAUAAUGUUUGCAAAGUGCCAUCACUCAGCAGUUUGUAGAUGCUGUGAUUGCUGGUUCAAGGAAGUUCACUGCAAGUCUGGUGAUGAUGAAGAUUCCUCUCUGUUCUUCCGCUUUGACCUGAGGAGUUUCACAAUGUGGCCAAGGAGAUCACAAGAACGAAACGUCUUCUGGAUGAUUCCUUCAUACUUAACAUCACCAGAGAACAGAAAGCAGCAUUCUUUAUCUGCAAAGAUACCCCUUGGGGUACAAUAAAAAGAGUGGAACGGACUUUAGGAUUGGUGCCCUUAGAAGAUUGUCCCCAUCCCUUCUUCCUAUUGACUCACAGAACUCCAUCCCUACCCAAUGAUGACAGCUCUAGCAGGCUGGAUCGUGGCACCCUAUUCACCGGAACCUAAACAUGUUGCCUUAUUUGGAAAAACAGCCUUUGUAGAUGUGAUUACAUUAAGGAUGAAAAGAUUAUCCUGGAUUGUCUGGGCGGGCUCUAAAUGCAAUCACAAGUGUCCUCCUAAGAGAGAGGCAGGGCAAGAUUUGACAUAUAGAGCAAAGAAGGUGAUAUGCGUUGGAACACAGAUUUGAAGAUGUUGGCCUUGAAGAUUAGAGUGACACAGCCAUAAAACCAGGAACAUUGAAAGUCAUGCACAAACUGGAAAGGCAAGGGACAGAUUCUCCCAUAGAGCCCUGUCCUAAAAGGAGAGUGGCCCUGCUCACAGCUUCAUUUCAGCCCAGUGAUUUAUGCCUUCUUUUAGACUUUUCUAUGUUUCAUUUAAAGAUACAUACAGGGGCGCCUGGGUGGCGCAGUCGUUAAGCAUCUGCCUUCAGCUCAGGGCGUGAUCCCAGCAUUCUGGGAUCGAGCCCCACAUCAGGCUCCUCUGCUGGGAGCCUGCUUCUUCCUCUCCCACUCCCCCUGCUUGUGUUCCCUCUCUCGCUGGCUGUCUCUGUCAAAUAAAUA
rnacentral:lncRNA from 1 species